rnacentral:rRNA from 1 species
AUCUGAUAUGAUUGGGUGAAUUAUGUGCCGUAUAAAAGAUGGCAGUAAUGCUGUUGUUUGAGGAUGAGCUUGCGUCCCAUUAGCUAGUUGGUGAGGUAACGGCUCACCAAGGCGAUGAUAGGUAGGCGGCCUUAACGGGUGGUCGCCCACACUGUUAUUGAGAUACGGCCCAGACUCCUACGGGAGGCAGCAGUCGAGAAUAGUCUACAAUGGUCGAAAGACUGAUAGUGCGACGCCGCGUGAACGAAGAAUCCCUUCGGGGUGUAAAGUUCUGUUUUAAUCGAGCAAUGCCUUUUAUGUGAUAAGCAUGAGGGGAGAGAUAUUAGGUUAAGAAUAAGCAACGGCUAACUCCGUGCCAUCAGCCGCGGUAACACGGGGGUUGCAAGCGUUGUCCGGAAUUACUAGGCGUAAAGGGCAGGUAGGCGGAUAUAUAAGUUUUGUGUUAAAGGCAUCGGCUUAACCGGUGUAAGGCAUAGGAUACUGUAUAUCUGGAAUGCGGUUGAGGAAGACAGAAUUCCUGGUGUAGCGGUGGAAUGCGCAGAGAUCAGGAGGAAUACCAAAGGCGAAGGCAGUCUUCUAAGCCGAUAUUGACGCUAAACUGCGAAGGUGUGGUUAUCAAACAGGAUUAGAUACCCUGGUAGUCCACACAGUAAACGAUAAUCACUAGGUGUUGGGUUCGUAGAGGAUUCAGUGCCGUAGCUAACGCGAUAAGUGAUUCGCCUGGGGAGUACGAUCGCAAGGUUGAAACUCAAAGGAAUUGACGGGGGCCCGCACAAGCGGUGGAGCAUGUGGUUAAUUCGAUGCAAC